UCGAGCCGAAACUUCGCAACGACAGAAGAAAGAAACCAGAUCCCAACCAAACGCUCCUCAGACUCAAAUCUCACCACCAAGAUCUAAUCCAGAAAAAAGUCCAGAGAACUCCAGACGUUGGAUAAUAAAACAGACAGAAGACACCGAAAGAAAAAAACCUAGAGGAACCGUAUCGCCGCCAUGCCCGAAAGCUAUUGCUGACUCAGAUUACCACGCCGACUCCACUUCUCGAGAUUUUUCAGGCGAUGAGAGCAAGAACCGCCAUGGAAGGAGGUGGCCGAGGGGAUCAAGUUUGCGAACCUGUGGAAGAACUCUCCGAGCACCGAAGGCAUGGUCGAUGCUCGCAGAGGAUAAACCCUAGCCAGAGAUCCAAUGAGCCCAAAUCCGAUGCUCCUUUUAGCCGAAUCAGCCCAUAAACAGAAGAUAUCGGGAAAUCUGAGGGAAAAUAAAGCGACGGCGAGCACCUUUGAUCGGAAGAGCAGAGGAAAGCAAAUGAUGGCGAGGAAGUGGGAUAGGAAGGGGAUUUAAGAGAGGAUUGGACGCUUGGCCGAGGCACCGGCAAAUGGCGGUCGGUAGUCUUAUUCAAACCGACACGUGGCUCUGGAAGGUCCGUUGCUCGCUCGACG
rnacentral:lncRNA from 1 species